AGCGAACGCUGGCGGCAGGCCUAACGCAUGCAAGUCGAACGAACCUUUCGGGGUUAGUGGCGGACGGGUGAGUAACACGUGGGAACGUGCCUUUAGGUUCGGAAUAACUCAGGGAAACUUGUGCUAAUACCGAAUGUGCCCUUCGGGGGAAAGAUUAAUCGCCUUUAGAGCGGCCCGCGUCUGAUUAGCUAGUUGGUUGAGGUAAUGGCUCACCAAGGCGACGAUCAGUAGCUGGUCUGAGAGGAUGAUCAGCCACAUUGGGACUGAGACACGGCCCAAACUCCUACGGGAGGCAGCAGUGGGGAAUCUUGCGCAAUGGGCGAAAGCCUGACGCAGCCAUGCCGCGUGAAUGAUGAAGGUCUUAGGAUUGUAAAAUUCUUUCACCGGGGACGAUAAUGACGGUACCCGGAGAAGAAGCCCCGGCUAACUUCGUG
rnacentral:rRNA from 1 species